UAGGGAAUCUUCCGCAAUGGGCGAAAGCCUGACGGAGCAACGCCGCGUGAGUGAUGAAGGUCUUCGGAUCGUAAAACUCUGUUAUUAGGGAAGAACAAAUGUGUAAGUAACUAUGCACGUCUUGACGGUACCUAAUCAGAAAGCCACGGCUAACUACGUGCCAGCAGCCGCGGUAAUACGUAGGUGGCAAGCGUUAUCCGGAAUUAUUGGGCGUAAAGCGCGCGUAGGCGGUUUUUUAAGUCUGAUGGGAAAGCCCACGGCUCAACCGUGGAGGGUCAUUGGAAACUGGAAAACUUGAGUGCAGAAGAGGAAAGUGGAAUUCCAUGUGUAGCGGUGAAAUGCGCAGAGAUAUGGAGGAACACCAGUGGCGAAGGCGACUUUCUGGUCUGUAACUGACGCUGAUGUGCGAAAGCGUGGGGAUCAAACAGG
rnacentral:rRNA from 1 species